rnacentral:lncRNA from 1 species
CAGACAGGGUGUAGACGGGGCUACGUGUUGAGCUGAGUACAGACAGACAGGUUGUAGACGGGGCUACGUGUUGAGCUGAGUACAGACAGACAGGGUGCAGACGGGGCUACGUGUUGAGCUGAGUACAGACAGACAGUGUGUAGACGGGGCUACGUGUUGAGCUGAGUACAGACAGACAGGGUGUAGACGGGGCUACGUGUUGAGCUGAGUACAGACAGACAGGGUGUAGACGGGGCUACGUGGUGAGCUGAGUACAGACAGACAGGGUGUAGACGGGCUAAUGCGGUUGAGCUGAGUACAGACAGACAGGGUGUAGACGGGCUAAUGCGGUUGAGCUGAGUACAGACAGACAGGGUGUAGACGGGCUACUAAGUUGAGCUGAGUACAGACAGACAGGGUGUAGACGGGCUACGGUUGAGCUGAGUACAGACAGACAGUGGGUGUAGACGGGGCUACGUGUUGAGCUGAGUACAGACAGACAGGGUGUAGACGGGGCUACGUGUUGAGCUGAGUACAGACAGACAGGGUGUAGACGGGGCUACAUGUUGAGCUGAGUACAGACAGAGGGUGUAGACGGGGCUACAUGUUGAGCUGAGUACAGACAGACAGGGUGUAGACGGGGCUACAUGUUGAGCUGAGUACAGACAGACAGGGUGUAGAAGGGGCUACAUGUUGAGCUGAGUACAGACAGACAGGGUGUAGACGGGGCUACAUGUUGAGCUGAGUACAGACAGACAGGGUGUAGACGGGGCUACAUGUUGAGCUGAGUACAGACAGACAGGGUGUAGACGGGGCUACAUGUUGAGCUGAGUACAGACAGACAGGGUGCUGGCAGGGGUCACACAUGGAAUAUAGACAGACCGGGUGCUGGCGGGGGCUGAUAUUAAUAAACCGUGGCUCAUGCUUAGGGCAUCUGGUGUCUGUGAUGAUAUCGGAUACCCAGUAUUGGCAAACAAAACAUAGCACAUACACAGCUGCUGCAUUAACCCCUUGCUGCCCUAACAUGUAGAAACUCCAAACCCAGUCGGAUUAAAUGGCAUCCGAAAACCAGUCUUUUCAUCCUGUAGAAUAUGCCUUUACAAACUGAUUUUGUGUUGGGCUUUUCAGAACAGUGCUACUUUAUUAUUUUUUAUUUUGAAAAUGUAACAUUUUAAGAAUCCCCUUUUAGUGAUGGACCACCCAGUAUACCAUAAACCGAAGGGCUAUAGUCAUUGAUGUGAGUAGUCACAGGUAAACUGCCUAAUGAGAGAAAUAUUGCUACUUAGUUGUCGUAAUAAACACAAUGUCUCUUAAUGUCGCAUUUACAGUAGGCUUUGGUGAGCAGCAAGCACUGUUAGUGCACAGAGAAACUGCAAAACAAGAAAUCACGGUUAUAGCCUUAUACACAUCUACAGCAUUCUUUAAUUAAUCAUAGAUACACUUCUAACUAAUAACACAUUGACAUAAGCAUAUAACCAGAGUCCAUUUUAAGCUUUGCACUAAGUAGUCAAUUAUUAAUGUAAUCCACUAUUAUUCAUAAUUGUAUAAAUGUAAAUAUUUUUGGAAAAUAAAACCAAUUGCCUGUCUAAUGGUCCAUAAUGAAACCUCCAACUUAUUUUUCUUAUUGGUAAUAUAUUACAGCAUUCACCACAUCCCAGCCUUCUUCAUUUCCUUUCAGGUAUCUACUACCCUUUCUAGAUCACUGUUACUGUUCCCACUGGAAGGCUAUUCCAGGUAUCUGCUACCUUUUCUAUAUCACUGUUAGCCAUUACUGCUCCCACUGGAAGGCUAUUCCGGGUACCUACUACCCUUUCUAUAUCACUGUUACUGCUUCCACUGGAAGGCUAUUCCAGGUAUCUACUACCCUUUCUAUAUCACUGUUACUGCUUCCACUGGAAGGCUAUUCCAGGUAUCUACUACCCUUUCUAUAUCACUGUUACUGCUUCCACUGGAAGGCUAUUCCAGGUAUCUACUACCCUUUUUGUAAAUAAGUAUUGUCUCCCAUCGCCCCUCCACAAGCACUUUCAGUCUCUAUAUCUCUCUCGAUGCCUUUUUCUGUCUAUUUUUGUCUCAUCUUAUCAUCUCCCCCUCCCUGCUCUCCCCCCAUAACUCUGGAUCUUUUCCAUUUUGUUGCUGGAAGCGUCUGUCCAUUUCUAGUGCAUUCUAUCAUGCUGGG